GUGGGGAAUCUUGCGCAAUGGGCGAAAGCCUGACGCAGCCAUGCCGCGUGAAUGAUGAAGGUCUUAGGAUUGUAAAAUUCUUUCACCGGGGACGAUAAUGACGGUACCCGGAGAAGAAGCCCCGGCUAACUUCGUGCCAGCAGCCGCGGUAAUACGAAGGGGGCUAGCGUUGCUCGGAAUUACUGGGCGUAAAGGGCGCGUAGGCGGACAGCUUAGUCAGAGGUGAAAGCCCAGGGCUCAACCUUGGAAUUGCCUUUGAUACUGGCUGUCUUGAGUACGGGAGAGGUGAGUGGAACUCCGAGUGUAGAGGUGAAAUUCGUAGAUAUUCGGAAGAACACCAGUGGCGAAGGCGACUCACUGGCCCGUUACUGACGCUGAGGCGCGAAAGCGUGGGGAGCAAACAGGAUUAGAAACCCCUGUAGUC
rnacentral:rRNA from 1 species